CUCAGAUCAUGUAAGAUUUUAAUGAUCGAACAGAUCAAAAUUUUAAACUUUUGCACUUAAAUUUUAUCUUAAUCCAACAUCGAGGUCGCAAACUUUUUUUUUUAUUUGAACUAAAAAAAAAUAUUACGCUGUUAUCCCUAAGGUAAUUUUUUCUUAUAAUCAUUAUUAAUGGAUCAUUUAAUCAUUUAUUUAUGUUUAAUUUUUAAAAAAAGUUAAUUUAAUUUUUCUAUCACCCCAAUAUAAUAAUUAAUUUUAUUUUAAUAAAAAUUUUUAUAUAAUUUUAAAAUAAAAAUAAAUAUAAAACUCUAUAGGGUCUUCUCGUCUUUUAAAAUUAUUUUAGCUUUUUAACUAAAAAAUAAAUUUCUAAAAAUAAAUAAGAGACAGUUUAUAUUUCAUCAAAUCUUUCAUACAAGUUUUCAAUUAAAAAACUAUUGAUUAUGCUACCUUUGUACAGUCAUUAUACUGCAGCCCUUUAAUAUUUAUCAGUGGGCAGAUUAGACUUUAAAUUAUACUCAAAAAGACAUGUUUUUG
rnacentral:rRNA from 1 species